AACAGUUUAAUCAAAAAGCAAUACAGGAAAUCAAAAAUACAAAGGAAAGGGCCCUACCAAAAUGAAACCGCUUUAAGAGCGCUCUCAACGCGAUCUUAAGCCAUAUAAAGCACAAGUGGAUGCCGCUGUUAAGAGCGUUCUGAGAACGCUCUUAUCUGCCAUGUUUUAAGAUUGUGCCUUCUCAAGCUUAAGAACGCUUAAGCGUUCUUAAGCAAUCUCAAGAGAGCGCUCUUUGCAGGGAAUCUCAAGCGUUCUCAGCGAUCUUACCCGUUCUCAAGGACAUUCUCAAACCAUUUUCUCACGCAUUCUUAAGCAAUCUUUCACCACUCUCAAGCGUUCUUACACCGUUCUCUCACCAUUCUUAAGCGUUCUUACAGCGUUCUCAAGCGUUCUUACAGCGUUCUCUCACCAUUCUUAAGCGUUCUUACAGCGUUCUCAAGCGUUCUUACACCGUUCUCUCAUCAUUCUUAAGCGUUCUUACAGCGUUCUCAAGCGUUCUUACAGCGUUCUCUCACCAUUCUUAAGCGUUCUUACAGCGUUCUCAAGCGUUCUUACACCGUUCUCUCACCAUUCUUAAGCGUUCUUACAGCGUUCUCAAGCGUUCUUACACCAUUCUCUCACCAUUCUUAAGCGUUCUUACAGCGUUCUCAAGCGUUCUUACAGCGUUCUUAUAGCGUUCUCACAGCAUUCUCAAGCGUUCUUACAACAUUCUCAAGCGUUCUCACAGCAUUCUCAAGCGUUCUUGCAGCAUUCUCAAGCGUUCUUACAGUGUUCUCAAGCGUUCUUACAGUGUUCUCACAGAGUUUUACAGUGUUCUCACAGCGUUGUUACAGCUUACUGCAGUGUUCUCAAGCAUUCCGUCCCCCAGCAUUCUUAAACCGUUAUUAAGGGCGCCUUCAAACAGAGGUAUGCCCAACAAAAACCUAGGGCCACCAUCUCGCUAGAGCCCGAUUCUCACAGCAGACCGCUUUCC
rnacentral:lncRNA from 1 species